AUUGAACGCUGGCGGCAUGCUUUACACAUGCAAGUCGAACGGGAGCGCGGGCUUCGGCCUGGCGGCGAGUGGCGAACGGGUGAGUAAUACAUCGGAACGUGCCCAGUAGUGGGGGAUAGCUCGGCGAAAGCCGGAUUAAUACCGCAUACGACCUGAGGGUGAAAGCGGGGGAUCUUCGGACCUCGCGCUAUUGGAGCGGCCGAUGGCAGAUUAGCUAGUUGGUGGGGUAAAGGCCUACCAAGGCGACGAUCUGUAGCUGGUCUGAGAGGACGACCAGCCACACUGGGACUGAGACACGGCCCAGACUCCUACGGGAGGCAGCAGUGGGGAAUUUUGGACAAUGGGCGAAAGCCUGAUCCAGCAAUGCCGCGUGUGUGAUGAAGGCCUUCGGGUUGUAAAGCACUUUUGGCGGGAACGAAAAGGACUGUGCCAAUACCACGGUUCGAUGACGGUACCCGCAGAAUAAGCACCGGCUAACUACGUG
rnacentral:rRNA from 1 species